GGUUUAGGUUUGAUUAGUGGUAAAUUGACACAUCAGGGUCAAGGGAAAAGCAGUCUUAAUUCAAUAAUCCUGCGUCAGAGUUUAUUGGUUUUGAAUCGGGUUUCUCUAGAUAUUAAUGCUAUCGGCUCAUUAAAUCUAUAGAGCGUCUCUUACGGUUGUCAGUCGAUUAGGGUAGUAAUUAGUGAAGCGUCUUCCUGGUUACCGAAUAAUUAAGGAGAAAUAAGAUCACGUCAGAAGCGUCUUCGGUGAUUAUAACUGGUUUGUUUGCAUGAUUUAAAGUUAUUUUUGCAUCGAUGAUCGGAAUAAUUGAGCUAGGGUGG
rnacentral:lncRNA from 1 species